GACGAACGCUGGCGGCGUGCUUAACACAUGCAAGUCGAACGAAGUGGCGAACGGGUGAGUAAUACGUGGGUAACCUGCCCUCCUUUUUGGGAUAAGCCUUGGAAACGGGGUCUAAUACCGAAUAAAGGGGGAUGGGCUCGCGGCCUGUCGGCUUGGUGGUGGGGUGAUGGACUACCACGGCGGUGACGGGUAGACGGCCUGAGCGGGUGACCGGCCACAGUGGUACUGGGAUGCGUCCCAGACGCCUACGGAGGGCAGCAGUGGGGGAUAUUGCACAAUGGGCGAAGGACUGAUGCAGCGACGCUGCGUGGGGGAUGAGGGCUUUCGGGUUGUAAACCUCGUGCGCAAUCGAACGGGUAGGUAGAGAAGAAGCGCCGGCUAACUACGUGCCAGCAGCCGCGGUAAUUC
rnacentral:rRNA from 1 species